GGGAGAAUAGCUCAGUGGAUAGAGCGGCGGUGCGCAGGUUCGAUUCCUGCUUCUCUCA
rnacentral:tRNA from 1 species